rnacentral:rRNA from 1 species
CCUACGGGGGGCAGCAGUGGGGAAUAUUGCUCAAUGGGGGAAACCCUGAUGCAGCAACGCCGCGUGAGGGAUGAAGUUUUUCGGAUUGUAAACCCCUUUUGUCAGAGAAGAUAAUGACGGUAUCUAACGAAUAAGCACCGGCUAACUCCGUGCCAGCAGCCGCGGUAAUACGGAGGGUGCAAGCGUUACUCGGAAUUACUGGGCGUAAAGGGCGCGUAGGCGGGAGAGCAAGUCAGAUGUGAAAUGCGAGGGCUUAACCAUCGGACUGCUGUUGAAACUGUUAGUCUGGAGUAUGGGAGAGGUAGGGGGAAUUCUUGGUGUAGGGGUAAAAGGCGUAGAGAUCAAGAGGAACACCAAUGGCGAAGGCGACCUGCUGGAACAUAACUGACGCUGAGGCGCGAAAGCGUGGGGAGCAAACAGGAUUAGAUACCCGAGUAGUC